rnacentral:rRNA from 1 species
GAUGAACGCUGGCGGCGUGCCUAAUACAUGCAAGUCGAGCGAACAGAUGAGGAGCUUGCUCCUCUGACGUUAGCGGCGGACGGGUGAGUAACAAGUGGAUAACCUACCUAUAAGACUGGGAUAACUUCGGGAAACCGGAGCUAAUACCGGAUAAUAUAUUGAACCGCAUGGUUCAAUAGUGAAAGACGGUUUUGCUGUCACUUAUAGAUGGAUCCGCGCCGCAUUAGCUAGUUGGUAAGGUAACGGCGUACCAAGGCAACGAUGCGUAGCCGACCUGAGAGGGUGAUCGGCCACACUGGAACUGAGACACGGUCCAGACUCCUACGGCGGGCAGCAGUAGGGAAUCUUCCGCAAUGGGCGAAAGCCUGACGGAGCAACGCCGCGUGAGUGAUGAAGGUCUUCGGAUCGUAAAACUCUGUUAUUAGGGAAGAACAAGGGUGUAAGUAACUAUGCACGUCUUGACGGUACCUAAUCAGAAAGCCACGGCUAACUACGUG